CCAAUUGACAUUUUCGAGCACGAAUAAUCGGGAAUUCGAGCAAAUUCCCUUAAAUUGGAGCCUUUAACUUCCCUUAAACUGCACCAGUUUAAGGGAAUUUAGAAAAAGUCCUUUAAAAUUAACUGUGAAGCGGCUUUUACGUUACUUUCUUCUAGAUUCCCUCGGAAAUGAUGUUUCCUAUCGUCAUAGUCGGCCAUGUUCCCAUUUUAUACAUAAAUAAUAUCCAUUUUUUGUAAAAUAACGUCACACAAAAUUAGCUUUUGUUUUUCAUCAAAAAACCAUAGCUAUGAAUGAAAAAUGAGCUAUGAGCUCGACGGCAUGGUCCAUCGAUAGAGGAACGUCUAUUUUACGAACACUCAAAAUCUUGGCGCUUUCAACACACUUGAUCACACACAAAUCCACAAUUUCAAGCGUAUCGAGUACUAAUUGAGCAGAUAUGGGAAGACAAUUUCGAGCAAAUGUCACUUGGGAUAUUCACAGACGGCUCGUCAAAGCACGGUAUUUGUAUUGGUGUUAGUGAAGCGCGCGUGUAAAACAGCAUGCGAACUCUCAUCGCAGCGCGUUUCUCCUUCCCAAGGACGCAAAAACCGACGGCGGCCUGUGUAAUCUGAGCUCCCUACAGCUCUCAGUCAGUCCAGAACUUUCCCUAUGGAAGGAUGUACUGAAGUGAGGUGCGAUUUCUUGUGCGACGUACUUUGCUCAUUUACGUUUUGUGCCGUGUUCCUUCUUCCUCAGUUAUGGAAUGAUUUAUCCUAGCAAAUUGUUGAUUUACAGGUGUGUGCGCUAUUUAUCAACGACUACCUGCUAGCCUCGUCAACAAUGUUCAAAGUGAGCGACGGAAAGAAAACGUUUUCCAGUUUUAAAAUAUUAAGCCCCCGGUGAGGACGUCAUUACUUAACAGAAGCCGAUUCAACACGCGCAGCUCCUGUUCAUGACGUCAUCACUAAACUGAAGAUAGCCGAACACGCGCAGCACGGAUGGUACAGUAUUGGACAAUAA